rnacentral:lncRNA from 1 species
CUAGUAUCCAAAGAAGCAAGUUGGAGAAAUCCUGCUCUAGAAAGAGGCUUAGCCUCAGAGAAAAAUUUAGACUAGUGAUAAGUAUAUUUAAUUUCAAGUUAAAUGUAUAAUAAAGGUACCUUAUUAGAAAGCUUAUUUGUAUGUAUAAUAAUGCAUAAAAUACCUGGGAUCCUUAAAGGCAGUUUUUGAGCAAGCAUACAGUUAUGUAUGUUAUGUUAGUGGAUUUGGAAAUAAAGUCACUGGUUUGACAUGUCAAGAUGAAAGCCAUGAGUCAAUGGAGCCUUGAACCUUCCACAGUUCUCUUUCUUUUAGCCAGAAGAAUAGCACACUUGAUGUUUCAGUGCCCCCUGGGGGCCACCAAGAUAUUGCACAAGGAGUCAUCAAUGGAUGAUACAGAAAGAAAUAAUGAAUACUCCUCUAGGCAUGUAGGAAUAAGGAAGAGAGAUUGAGCUGUAGAGAGAUUUGAAAACCAGACUCUAGAAAAUUCUGGAAAGAAGUCUGGUAUCUAACACAUAGAUAAUAUACCAACAAGCCUUAAAAAGUCUGAUAUGGUCCAAAGGAAGGACAACAGUCACCUAAGGCAAAGGGAAUAAAUGGGGCUCAAUGAAGAGGGGAGAGUAUUGUUAAGCAGGCGAUGACUGGUGAGUAGACUAAAGUUCUCAGAAUGAAGGGAAAAAAACAACGUCAGUUUUCCCUAUGCAAAAGAUGUUAUUUAAAAGUGGCACCUCUACAGAAGAGGUCGCACAAAGAAAACUCCUUUCCUUUGUGUUACACGAGAUCUUCAGCAAAGGAUGUCAUGCAGAUAUACUAAUGGAUGAG